rnacentral:rRNA from 1 species
UACGGGGGAUGCAAGCGUUAUCCGGUAUCAUUGGGCGUAAAGCGCCUGUAGGUUGUUUAAUAAGUCUGUUGUUAAAGAAUAGGGCGCAACCCUAGAGAAGCAAUAGAAACUGUUAGGCUUGAGUAUGGCAGGGGUAGAGGGAAUUUCUAGUGUAGCGGUGAAAUGCGUAGAUAUUAGAAAGAACACCGGUGGCGAAGGCGCUCUACUGGACCUUACUGACACUCAGAGGCGAAAGUUAGGGGAGCAAAAGGGAUUAGGUACCCCUGUAGUCCUAACCAUAAACGAUGGAUACUAGAUGUUGGAAACAGUAUCGUAGCUAACGCGUUAAGUAUCCCGCCUGGGAAGUACGCUCGCAAGGGUG